rnacentral:rRNA from 1 species
GUCGAGCGGGUGCAGCAAUGCAUCAGCGGCAGACGGGUGAGUAACGCGUGGGAACAUACCCUUCGGUUCGGAAUAACUUGAGGAAACUCGGGCUAAUACCGGAUACGUCCAGGAGCAAUCCUGGGGAAAGAUUUAUCGCCGAAGGAUUGGCCCGCGUCCGAUUAGCUUGUUGGCGGGGUAAUGGCCCACCAAGGCGACGAUCGGUAGCUGGUCUGAGAGGAUGAUCAGCCACAUUGGGACUGAGACACGGCCCAAACUCCUACGGGAGGCAGCAGUGGGGAAUAUUGGACAAUGGGCGCAAGCCUGAUCCAGCCAUGCCGCGUGAGUGAUGAAGGCCUUAGGGUUGUAAAGCUCUUUCGCUCGGGACGAUAAUGACGGUACCGAGAGAAGAAGCCCCGGCUAACUUCGUGCCAGCAGCCGCGGUAAUACGAAGGGGGCUAGCGUUGUUCGGAAUUACUGGGCGUAAAGCGCGUGUAGGCGGGUGUCUAAGUCAGGGGUGAAAUGCCGAGGCUCAACCUCGGAACUGCCUUUGAUACUGGAUAUCUGGAGUCCGGGAGAGGUGAGUGGAACUGCGAGUGUAGAGGUGAAAUUCGUAGAUAUUCGCAAGAACACCAGUGGCGAAGGCGGCUCACUGGCCCGGAACUGACGCUGAGACGCGAAAGCGUG